ensembl:lncRNA
AAAUGUUGAGAAAUCGUUCUUUUUGAUAGCUGAGUAAUAUUCCAUUGUAUAUAUGGACCACAUCUUCUUAAUCCAGUCAUCUCUUGAAGGGCAUCUUGGCUCCUUCCAUGAUUUAGCUAUUGUGGACAAUGCUGCUAUGAACAUUGGGGUGCAUAUGGCCCUUCUCUUCACUACGUCUGUAUCUUUGGGGUAAAUACCCAGUAGUGUAAUUGCUGGAUCUUAGGGUAGCUCAAUUUUUAACUUUUUAAGGGACCUCCACACUGUUUUCCAGAGUGGCUGUACCAACUUGCAUUUCCACCAACAAUGUAAGAGGGAUUCCCUUUCUCCACAUCCUCUCCAACAAUUGUUGUUUCCUGCCUUGUCAAUUUUUGCCAUUCUAACUGGUGUAAGGUGGUAUCUUAGUGUGGUUUUGGUUUGAAUUUCCCUGAUGGCUAAUGAUUUUGAACCUUUUUUCAUAUGUCAGUUAGCCAUUUGUAUGUCUUCCUUGGAAAAGUGUCUGUUCAUAUCUUCUGUCCAUUUUAUGAUUUGUUUAUUUGUUUCUUGUUUUGAGAAGUUCUUUGUAGAUCUUGGAUACCAGUCUUUUAUCUGUAUCAUCAUUUGCAAAUAUAUUCUCCCAUUCCGUGGGCUGCCUCUUAGUUUUUUUGACUGUUUCCUUGGCUGUGCAGAAGCUUUUUAUCUUGAUGAAGUCCCACAAGUUCAUUUUAUCUUUUGUUUCUCUUGCCUUUGGAGAUGUGUCAUGAAAAAGGUUGCUUUGGCCGAUGUCGUAGAGGUUGCUGCCUAUGUUCUCCUCUAGAAUUUUGAUGGAUUCCUGUCUCACAUGGAGGUCUUUCAUCCACUUGGAGUUUAUUUUGUGUAUGGUGUGAGAUAGUGGUCAAGUUUCAUUCUUUUGCAUGUAGCUGUCCAAUUUUCCCAGCACCAUUUAUUGAAGAGACUCUCUUUUUACCACUGGAUGAUUUUCCUGCUAUAUCAAAGAUUAGUUGCCCAAAGAGCUGAGGGUCCAUUUCUGGGCUCUCUAUUCUGUUCCAUUGAUCUGUGUGUCUGUUUUUGUGCCAGUACCAUGCUGUCUUUGUGAUCAUAGCUUUGUAGUACAGCUCGAAAUCCGGCAUUGUUUUGCCCCCAGCUUUGUUUUUCCUUCUCAACACUUCCUUGGUGAUUCGGGGCCUUUUCUGGUUCGAUACAAAUUUAAGGACUAUUUGUUCCAGUUCUUUGAAAAAUGUCCUCGGUAUUUUGAUCGGGAUAGCAUUGAAAGUGUAGAUUGCUCUGGGUAGCAUGGACAUUUUAACUAUGUUAAUUCUUCUGAUCCAUGAGCAUGGAAUAUUUUUCCAUCUUUUUAUGUCUUCCUCAAUGUCUUUCAAGAGUGAUUUAUAGUUUCUAGAAUAUAGGUCCUUUACAUCUCUGGUUAAGUUAAUUCCAAGGUAACAUAUGGUUUUUGGUGCUUUGUAAAUGGGAUGGAUUCCCUAAUUUCUCUUUCUUCAGUCUCAUUAUUCGUGUAUAGAAAUGUAACUGAUUUCUGAGCAUUGAUUUUGUAUCCCGCCACAUUACUGAAUUGCUCUAUAACUUCUAAUAGUUUGGGAGUGGAUUCCUUUGGGUUUUCCAUAUAGAGUAUCAUGUCAUCUGCGAAGAGAGACAUUUUGACUUCUUCUUUGCUGAUUUGGAUACUUUUUAUCCCUUUUUGUUGUCUGAUUGCUGUUGCAAGGACUUCUAUGACACUUUUCCAAUGAAGACAAAACCACACUGAGAUACCACCUUACGCCAGUUAGAAUGGCAAAAAUAGACAAGGCAAGAAACAACAAUUGUUGAAGAGGAUAUGGAGAAAGGGGAUCCCUCCUACAUUGUUGGUGGGAAUGCAAGUUGGUACAGCCACUCUGGAAAACAGUGUGGAGGUCCCUUAAAAAGUUAAAAAUUGAGCUACCCUAUGAUCCAGCCAUUGCACUACUGGGUGUUUACCCCAAAGAUACAGACGUAGUGAAGAGAAAGGCCAUAUGCACCCCAAUGUUCAUAGCAACAUUGUCCACAAUAGCUAAAUCGUGGAAGGAGCCGAGAUGCCCUUCAACAGAUGACUGGAUUAAGAAGCUGUGGUCCAUAUAUACAAUGGAAUAUUACUCAGCUAUCAGAAAGAACGAGUUCUCAACAUUUGCUACAACAUGGACGGCACUGGAGGAGAUAAUGCUAAGUGAAAUAAGUCAAGCAGAGAAAGACAACUAUCAUAUGAUUUCUCUCAUCUAUGGAACAUAAGAACUAGGAUGAUCGGUAGGGGAAGAAAGGGAUAAAGAAAGGGGGGUUAAUCAGAAGGGGGAAUGAAACAUGAGAGACUAUGGACUAUGAGAAACAAACUGAGGGCCUCAGAGGGGAGGGGGGUGGGGGAAUGGGAUAAACCGGUGAUGGGUAGUAAGGAGGGCACAUAUUGCAUGGUGCACUGGGUGUUUAUACGCAACUAAUGAAUCAUCGAACUUUACAUCAAAAACUGGGGAUGUACUGUAUGGUGACUAACAUAAUAUAAUAAAAAAUCAUUUAAAAAAUAAAAUAAAAUAAAAUAAAUUAAAAUAAAUAAAAAAAGAAAAAGGAGUAAAAUCAAUUAUAUUUACAAUAAUUAGUUAAGGAAUACACAAAUAAAAAGAUGAAAAUUUGAUAUCAUACACAUAAAAUGUGGAGGGGAAUAGUAGAAAUGUAGUGCUUUUACAAUGUGUCCAAA